UACGUAGGGAGCGAGCGUUGUCCGGAUUCAUUGGGCGUAAAGAGCUCGUAGGCGGCUUGAUAAGUCGGAUGUGAAACCUCCAGGCUCAACCUGGAGUCGCCAUCCGAUACUGUCAUGGCUAGAGUCCGGUAGGGGCCCACGGAAUUCCUGGUGUAGCGGUGAAAUGCGCAGAUAUCAGGAGGAACACCGGUGGCGAAGGCGGGUCUCUGGGCAGUAACUGACGCUGAGGAGCGAAAGCGUGGGGAGCGAACAGG
rnacentral:rRNA from 1 species